UACAGAGGUCUCAAGCGUUGUUCGGAUUCAUUGGGCGUAAAGGGUGCGUAGGUGGCGCGGUAAGUCGGGUGUGAAAUCUCGGGGCUCAACCCCGAAACUGCACUUGAUACUGCCUUGCUCGAGUACUGGAGAGGAGACUGGAAUUUACGGUGUAGCAGUGAAAUGCGUAGAUAUCGUAAGGAAGACCAGUGGCGAAGGCGAGUCUCUGGACAGUUACUGACGCUGAGGCACGAAGGCCAGGGGAGCAAACGGG
rnacentral:rRNA from 1 species